UACGUAGGGGGGCAACGUUGUCCGGAAUCAUUGGGCGUAAAGAGCGUGUAGGCGGCUUGGUAAGUCCGCUGUGAAAGUCCAGGGCUCAACCCUGGAAUGCCGGUGGAAACUGUCAAGCUUGAGUCCGGAAGAGGCGAGUGGAAUUCCUGGUGUAGCGGUGAAAUGCGCAGAUAUCAGGAGGAACACCAAUGGCGAAGGCAGCUCGCUGGGACGGUACUGACGCUGAGACGCGAAAGCGUGGGGAGCAAACAGG
rnacentral:rRNA from 1 species